UCCAGCUUAUCGCUGGCAGUUUCCUUAUAGUCCCCGACUUAACUCGCUGGUAAAUAAGGAUAAGGGUUGCGCUCGUUGCGGGACUUAACCCAACAUCUCACGACACGAGCUGACGACAGCCAUGCAACACCUGUGUGUGAUCCGGCCGAACCGACAGAACCAUCUCUGGUUCCUUUAAUCACCAUGUCAAGGGUUGGUAAGGUUUUUCGCGUAGCAUCGAAUUAAACCGCAUGCUCCACCGCUUGUGCGGGCCCCCGUCAAUUCCUUUGAGUUUCAACCUUGCGGUCGUACUCCCCAGGCGGGGUACUUCCUGCGUUAGCGCCGGCACCCAGAGGGUCGCUCCCCCAGGCACCUAGUACCCAUCGUUUACGGCGUGGACUAC
rnacentral:misc_RNA from 1 species